rnacentral:tRNA from 1 species
GCGCCCGUAGCUCAGCGGAUAGAGCGUCAGACUCCGGAUCUGAAGGCCGUGGGUUCGAGUCCCCCCGGGCGCGCCA